rnacentral:lncRNA from 1 species
ACGCGCCGCAGGUCAGGACUAGGCUGGAGCCGAGCCGCGGGGCUCGCGGAGGCGGCGGCGGCGGCGGCGGCUACUGCUGGGGGAGCCUGGCCAGGGCCCGCGGCGGAGGCCGUGGCUAGUACUGGGAAGGUGGCGGGGAGGGACGCGGGAGGAAGAUGGCGACGUCGGGGGCGAACGGGCCCGGCUCUGCCACGGCCUCGGCUUCCAAUCCGCGCAAGUUUAGUGAGAAGAUCGCGUUGCAGAAGCAGCGUCAGGCCGAGGAGACGGCGGCCUUCGAGGAGGUGAUGAUGGACAUCGGCUCCACCCGGGUGAGGGGCCGCGCCGGGGAGCGGGAGCGAAGCGGAGCAGUUACGGAGCGGAGAGGCGGGGCAGGGGCGGGAGCCGCAGCCCUGGAGGCGGAACAGGGUUGAGGCGACGGCGGCGGGCGCCGCCGUCUGGGAGGCUCGGGUUGAGGGCCGAGGGGACUGGAAGACGAAUUUUGCUCGGGAGAUGGAAAUACAGGAGAGGUGGGGGAUGUGGGUGCGACUGGGGGCCGAGUACGUGAGUCGGAGAUGGGCCGAGAGGGAAGAUGGGCCCCCGAAGGCCAGGGGAGGUGGGGAGUCCUUGUGCGUGCCGGGAGGAGUCCCCUUGGGGACUCCACUGAAGCAUCCCAGAUCUUGGGUUAUGGAUUUUAGGAUGGACUGCUUGUCCCUAAUUUGGUUCUUCUGAGGUUGUGCUCUCUAGACUGGUCUCUGCCCUGUUGUGCCGCUCUCAGCACUUUGGUAUCUACGGGAAAGGGCCCCUUGAGUGGUUUGAACGAGCAGUGUUGGGUAUAGUGGGGCAGGAAGUCCCCUCCUGCGUCCCGUCCCUUUGCUUCCUUUUUCAAGUACUUCUUGUGGUUUCCUGACGUGAGUGAAGGUGAGGUCCACUGCUCACAGGCUGGUGCUCCAUCUUUUGCCUUGGCCGCCUUGAAGGAAAAGUAGAGUUUUGAAUCCCAAAACUGGGUAACUGAUUUUUUUCUUUUUAGGUUGCAUAGAACCCGAUGAUUUGCUGGACUUUCUAGGGAGAUGCUGCCCUGUGGGUCAGUUUCUGGAGUGCCUCGGAGGGUCCCCCAUGAGGAGGGUAUAUUCAUUCCUAGGAAAUUCUUAGAAUUUUCAGGUCUCUGACAAGCUGCCUCUGAAGCCCCUCUGGCCUUGGUUUCUUGCUGCCCAAGGCUGGAUGUCCAAGGGCCACUGUCAAAAGAGUUUGCCCAGCUGGUAUGCAGUGCUAAUUUAGGGACACAUUAUUCUCAAAUAAUAGGUGAGAGGAUUUUGCUGUGAUCCCUCAUGGCAAAGAACUGGAAGAAAUUUAAAGGGAGAUGGUGGACAUAAGUGUCGCAUUUCAACGCUCCUUGUGAUUGCAUCUAUCAAUGAUUAUGUCUCUUGAUUAUAUUUUUGUGUGCCUCUUCCUUGAUUCUGUUAGUCUCUUUUGUGUUUUUCCCCUCUGAGUCUCUAGGGACCAUGUGCCCUAGAUUAUGAGAGCCAAAACAGAAAAAGAUAGGUGGGGAGGCAAGUGUGUGUGUGUGUGUGUGUGUGUGUGUUUGUGUACACAUACACAGGCAUAUGCUUGCAUAACCCACUCUAACUACUAUGAGGAUUAUGCUCUAACGCUUGACUGCUCUCUAGGAACUUUUGAUCAUAGCGGUACAGAGAGAAGAUGGGAGAGGGGCUCAUCCUCAGCUGAGAGCUCUGCCCUCUGGACCAGGAUUCUAGCAGAGGCAUGGUGUGAUCUUAGGGCUUGUAUGUGCAAACAAGGCUGUGAGAAACUCAAAGCUGGGAUUCCUAUUUGUGGUGCUUUGGUUCAUCAAAAGGACCUUCUACCUGCCUUUUCUCUCCUGAUUCUUUUCUGCUAUGUAAAAAAGUCUAGUGGACAUUCAUGGCCAGGGCCUGGGGACCUAAAAAUCUUGAACUAGCAAUGAGAGAUCUGGGGCUCAGCUUGUUACCUGGCCAGUUGGGAGGGCUCAUUUGAAUCAGAUAUGGCCAUAUUUGUUCUACUGAGAGGCUAGGGUUGCCAUAUUUAUUAACAGUGAUUUUGAAGGACCCAGAGGUAAGCACAGUGCCCACCAAACUCAGUGGGUUGAGCUCCUAGAACAGGAAUUCAGGUUUGAUGUACGCUUACAUGGCAACAGUGUGAUCCUGGAAGCUCUUGGAAUUUACCAUCCUCAGCUGUUCUCCUCCCCAUGGCCUUGCUCUGGGUCUCUUUGUCUGGUGGUAGUGACUGAGGACACAAAUCUGCAGGCAGGCUAAAUCCAUGUCAAGCUGAGGGAUAUGGUGUAUCACUUCUGUCCCAGACUUAUUUCUCUGAAAUAGGGGUAAGGGCCAGGGAGGUGGCUCUGGCCCAGGCUGGAGUGGGCUCCUGAGCCCCCUCCUACCUCCAUUCACUAGGCUUCCCUGCCAAUUAAGGGGCCUUAGGAUCCAGUGGAAGUAUUCUGCUUUUCUAGUGGGCAAAGCCAUUAUUUCCUGGAUCUUCUAAUUUGGGAGGUACAGGCUGUGAUUUGGCUGGGCAAGUGGCAUAGCCUAGUAGCCUGCGUUCUCUUUGAGUGUGAAGGAAAAAGGAUGGCAAUAAUGGAUCUAUGACAUCCACCUGUGACCUUGCCCUUCUAAUUAGUCCUGGGUAUAUCUGGAAAUGAAACCAGAAGUGCCUAAUAGGCACCCAUCUCUGUGACUAGUCCCUAGUAACCCCUAGGGACUCUGCUUAGACUGAUGCUGACCGAGCUAGGCAGCGGCGAUCUCACUGAUGAGGGUAGGCUACAGAAGGGCUGGGGGGUUGUUUGCACUAGGUCUCUGUGGGCCUUUCUCCUAGCACUGGCUUUUCUUUUUUUUUUUUCCUUUUUCCCUAGCAGAUACCUUAAAAGCUGCAGCAGCAUAUCCUGGUGACAGGGAUGGCAAGGAUGGCCAAAGGGAACAGUGCUCAGGACUCUCCCUGACAUUCCCAUUUGUCCUUCAUGUCUCAGUUACAGGCCCAAAAACUGCGACUGGCAUACACAAGAAGCUCCCAUUAUGGUGGUUCUCUGCCCAAUGUUAACCAGAUUGGCUGUGGCCUGGCCGAGUUCCAGGUGAGUGGACAUCAGCCAGGGAGGAGUGGAGGUUCCUCUGCUUCCUCUGCUGAUUACCUGUCCCUUUUGGCAGAGCCCCCUCCACUCACCUUUGGAUUCAUCUCGGAAUACUCGGCACCAUGGGCUGGUGGAACGGGUGCAGCGCGACCCCCGAAGAAUGGUGUCCCCACUCCGCCGAUAUCCCCGCCACAUAUCCUUAAUAGAGGACAGGGAGUCUGGGAGGUAGUGGGAAGGGGUUCUUCAGGGAGGCAUGGUAGGAAGGACUUACUUUCGCAGUACUGAGGGUUCCCUGCCACUCAGCUACACCCCAGCCCUUUUUAUUUUUUGAGAUAGGGUCUUACAAAGUCACUCGUGCUUACCUGGAACUUGUGAUCCUCCUGCCUCAGCCUUCUGAGUUGUGGGGUUACAGGCACGAGCCAUCACGUCCAUAGGAAGAGAUGUUAAAUGUUGCCUUGUUCCGUCCUUUUCCAGGAGCUUACCUUUACCCUGACUCAAUGAAAAGUGACCACAGUCAAUGUGUCAGGAGUUGCUGCUCCUCUCUGGCUGGUCUCAGCUGUCCUCACUUUGGCUCAGUCUGCUGCACAAGUAGUGGGCUCCCUAUGCUCUGACUAAGGAAGGCUUGAUCCCUUCGUUUCUGUUGUUUCAUUUCAGUCUCAGAGACCCAUAUACUCAUCUCCCCUAAGUCCUGCUCAGACAGUCUCCUAGAUUGUUCUCGCUCCAUUAUGCCUGAUACUUUUUUUUUUUUUAAACACAGUACUGAGGAUUGAACCCAGGGCCUUGCCAAUGCCAGGCAGGGACUCUGCUGCUGAGCUACAUACCCAGCUCCAAGCUCUGUUCUUUUUUUAAUUUCUUUCCAGUACGGGGGAUUAAACUCAGGGCCUUGUGCAUGCUAAGCAAGCACUUUACCAUUGAGCCACAUCCCCAGUCUCUUUUCAUUCUUUGACCCCAUUGUUGCCACUUGAAGAGAAAGAGAAAGAGAAAGGUUAUAUGUGUUUUGAAAUAGCUAUCUAGCCAGGCAUAGUGGCACACACCUGUAAUCCCAGCAGCUUGGGAGGCUGAAGCAGGAGGGUCGCAAGUUCAAAGCCAGCCUCAGCAACUUAGCAAGGCUCUAAGCAACUCAGUGAGACCCUAUCUCAAAAUAAAAAGGGUUGGGGGCCUGGGAUUGUGGCUCAGUGGUAGUGCACUUGCCUAGCACGCGUGAGGCACUGGGUCCCAUCCUCAGCACCACAUACAAAAAUAAAGUUAUUAAAAAACAACAAAAGGGCUGGGGAUGUGGCUCAGUGGUAAAGUGCUCUCGUACCAAAAAGAAAGAAAUAACUAUCUACUGUCUCCAUUGGUCGACUUUUUUGAGACAGGGUCUUGCUAAAGUUGCUGAGGCUAUUCUCAUACUUGGAGAUCUCCUGCUGCUCUGUUUACUCACUCUCCAUCUUCUUCCUUAACUGUUGCUGUUCACAUUGACAGUUCUCCCUACAGUCCCGCCUACUUAUCUCCUCCUCCAGAGAACAGCUGGCGAAGGUGAGUCCAGGUCAGGCAGUCCGCUGCCCACUCUGUCACUUUCUGAAGGAGCUGGGGCUUGGUUGGGAUACUGGACUAGGGUUUCAUCAGUACCUCCUCCUAUAUUGGCUUAGCUGGGAGGGUGGGGGCAGCAGGAGUAGGUGAUCAGAGUCCAGUCUUGGCGUGUUGACAUGUGUAGCCAAAGCAGGACCAAUAGAACUGGAGCCAAGCUGGGUGUGUGUGAGAGUGUGUGUGUGUGUGUGUGUGUGUGUGUAUGGGGGAGGGGAGAAAGGCAGGGUUACAGGUGAAAAUGGCUGCCUUCUGUCAAGGGUGGGUGCCAGAUACAGUGCAGGGAAACUAUUAGAUCUCUGAACCCCUCCACUCUCCAUCUUAGCCCUAGCACUCACGUCCAAAAGAGGCUCUGAGCUCCAAAUUUCCUGUUCAGCUUGUCCUGGCAGAGAGGAGUGGAGAAGUUUCCAGAUCUCUUAGAUUGACUGGGGGAGGGGAUUCAUGGGUCACAGGCAUCAGAAGAACCAGAAAGAGCAAAGAAUUAUUCUGGUGCCCGUCCUCUCUUUCCAUCGGGGCUGCCUCACAUUCCCAGCCCCCAUGUCUGCUUUCUUGUCACUGCCAGCAUUCUUCCUCCUCCUCACUCUGUUUUUCUACCCCAGGAUGAUGCCCUGGAGCAAUUUCCCUGCAGAGAAGGGGCAGUUGUUUCGACUACCGUCUGCACUCAACAGGUGAUGGCCCUUGCCUUAUUUAGGCCGUAUCUUCUUUAAUCUGCACUUUCUGGGGCCCUGUUGCUUCACCCCACACUGUUGUAGCCCAUCUAAUGUCUCCCCUGCUGGGCGGGGCUGGGCCACUGGGAAAAUCAUUACCGCUGCCAUUGCUGCUGCUGC